AUUUCUAAUUUGAAUUUAUAUAGUUUAAAUAAAACAUUACAUUUUCAUUGUAAAAUUAAAUUUUAUCUUUUAUAA
rnacentral:tRNA from 1 species